rnacentral:rRNA from 1 species
ACAGGUUGAUCCUGCCUGUAGUGAUACGCUUGUCUAAAAGAUUAAGCCAUGCACGUCUAAGUUUAAGCAAUUAAACAGUGAAACUGCGAAUGGCUCAUUAUAUCAGUUAUAGCCUACUCGAUAGUACCUUACUACUUGGAUACCCGUAGUAAUUCUAGAGCUAAUACAUGCAUUAAAUACUCGAUUGAGUAGCAUUUAUUAGAUUGAAACCAAUGUAAUUGUUGAGUCAUAAUAACUGUGCGGAUCGUUCGUCAAGAGCGAUGAAUCGACUGGGUUUCUGCCUUAUCAGUUUUGGAUGGCUGUGUAUUGGACAGCCAUGACAUUGACGGGUAACGGAGGAUUAGGGUUCGACACCGGAGAGGGCGCCUGAGACACGGCGACCACAUCCAAGGAAGGCAGCAGGCGCGUAAAUUACCCAAUGCUAAUUCAGCGAGGUAGUGACAAGAAAUAACGAUUUUCGGUCUUCAAGAUCGGAAAAUUGGAAUGAGAACAAUUUAAAUCCCUUAUCGAGGAUCAAUUGGAGGGUAAGUCUGGUGCCAGCAGCCGCGGUAAUUCCAGCUCCAAUAGCGUAUAUUAAAGUUGUUGCAGUUAAAGCUCGUAGUUGGAUUUAAGUUUGGUUCAAGAUCACAGUCGUGAGAUUGUGGUGCAUGAAACGGACAUUAUUUGGGAUUGGGGGUUUCUUGGCAUUCAGUUGUUGAGAUUCAACUGCCCAUCGUUUACUGUGAAAAAAUUAGAGUGUUUAAAGCAGGGGUUUUUCCUUUGGAUAUAUUAGCAUGGAAUAAUAAUAUAUGACUCGUAUGGUCUAUUUUGUUGGUUUGCACAUAUGAGUAAUGAUUAAUAGGGACAGUUGGGGGUAUUCAUAUUUGAGCGUCAGAGGUGAAAUUCUUGGAUCGCUGAAAGAUGAGCUAAGGCGAAAGCAUUUACCAAGGAUGUUUUCAUUAAUCAAGAACGAAAGUUAGGGGAUCGAAGAUGAUUAGAUACCAUCGUAGUCUUAACCGUAAACUAUGCCGACUCGGGAUGGUUAUGACGCUUUUAGUCAUAGCUGCACCGUAUGAGAAAUCAAAGUCUUUGGGUUCCGGGGGAAGUAUGAUCGCAAGAUUGAAACUUAAAGGAAUUGACGGAAGGGCACUCCAAAUUGGAACUUGCGGCUUAAUUUGACUCAACACGGGGAAACUUACCAGGUCCAGACAUAAUAAGGAUUGACAGAUUGAGAGCUCUUUCUUGAU